rnacentral:rRNA from 1 species
AGAGCAUAGGGUGGAUGCCUUGGCACCAAGAGCCGAAGAAGGACGUGGUCAGCUGCGAUAAGCCAUGGUCAGCCGCAAGCAGGCAAUGACCCAUGGAUUUCCGAAUGCGGAAACGCGGCACGUUAACAGCGUGUCAUCAUGUCAUGAAUAAAUAGUGACAUGAGGGGAACCCGGUGAACUGAAACAUCUAAGUAGCCGGAGGAAGAGAAAGAAACAUCGAUUUCCUUAGUAGCGGCGAGCGAAAGGGAAAGAGCCCAAACCGAGGGUCUACGGACGUUCGGGGUUCGGACUUGCAAAAAUCGAAGUACUUAUAGACGAAGAGGUUUGGAACUUCCUACCAAAGAGGGUAACAGUCCCGUAGUCGAAAUGAGUACAAGAGGGCGAGAAUCCAGAGUACCACAGGACACGAGUAAUCCGGUGGGAAGACGGGGGGCCCACCCCCCAAGGCUAAAUACUACUUGGUGACCGAUAGCGUAUAGUACCGUGAGGGAAAGGUGAAAAGAACCCCGGGAGGGGAGUGAAAGAGUACCUGAAACCCUAUGUUUACAAGCAGUGGGAGCGAGAGCGACCAUGUACUUUUUGUAGAACGGGCCGGCGAGUUACUGUGUGCAGCGAGGUUAAGUUGUUAAGCAACGGAGCCGAAGGGAUACCGAGUCUGAAAAGGGCGUAAAGUUGCAUGCAGUACACCCGAAACCGGGUGACCUAUCCAUGGACAGGAUGAAGCGACGGUAAGACGUCGUGGAGGUCCGAACCACACGUACGUGAAAAGUGCGGGGAUGAGCUGUGGAUAGCGGAGAAAUUCCAAUCGAACUCGGAGAUAGCUGGUUCUCCCCGAAAUAGCUUUAGGGCUAGCCUCGAUUUAGAUUACCGGGGGUAGAGCACUGAAUGGGCUAGGGGGCCACAAAGCUUACCGAACCCUAUCAAACUUCGAAUACCGGAUAAUUGAUGAUCGGGAGUCAGACAGUGUGAGAUAAGUUUCAUUGUCGAAAGGGAAACAGCCCAGAUCUACGACUAAGGUCCCAAAGUUCAAGUUAAGUGGAAAAGGAUGUGCAAUUGCGUAGACAACCAGGAUGUUGGCUUAGUAGCAGCCAUUCAUUCAAAGAGUGCGUAAUAGCUCACUGGUCGAGUGAUUGUGCGCCGAAAAUGUAACGGGGCUAAACUUGACACCGAAGUCUAGGCAGAAGGAAACUUCUGGGUAGGGGAGCAACGUGUACGGGCAGAAGCAGAAGCGGAAGCGACUGUGGACUGUACAGGAGAGAGAAUGCCGGCAUGAGUAGCGAGAGCAAAGUGAGAAUCUUUGCCGUCGAAAGCCUAAGGUUUCCUGAGGAAGGCUCGUCCUCUCAGGGUAAGUCGGGACCUAAGCCGAGGACAAUAGUCGUAGGCGAUGGACAAUCGGUUAAUAUUCCGAUACCGCCGAGCAACCGGAUGCAGUGACACAGAAGGAUAGGCAGAGCGUGGCGAUGGUAGACCACGUCCAAGCAGUGAGGCUGUUGUGUAGUGAAGUACGCACAACGGAAGGCUGGGCUGUGAUGGGGAACGAUUACGAUCGGUAAGCUGCUGAAUUCACGCUGGCGAGAAAAGCUGCUACGAAGCGAAGGCGCCCGUACCGCAAACCGACACAGGUAGGCGAGGAGAGAAUCCUAAGACGAGCGGGAGAACCCUUGUUAAGGAACUCGGCAAAAUGACUCCGUAACUUAGGGAGAAGGAGUGCCCAGGAAUGGGCCGCAGAGAAUAGACCCAAGCGACUGUUUACCAAAAACACAGGUCUGUGCGAAGUAGAGAUACGACGUAUACGGGCUGACACCUGCCCAGUGCCGGAAGGUUAAGGGGAAAUGUUAGGGCAACCGAAGCAUGGAACUUAAGCCCCGGUGAACGGCGGCCGUAACUAUAACGGUCCUAAGGUAGCGAAAUUCCUUGUCGGGUAAGUUCCGACCCGCACGAAUGGUGUAACGAUUUGGGUACUGUCUCAACAAGGGACCCGGCGAAAUUGUAGUAUGUGUGAAGAUGCACAUUACCCGCGAUAGGACGGAAAGACCCCGUAGAGCUUUACUGUAGUUUAACAUUGGAUUCCGGUAACAUAUGCACAGGAUAGGUGGGAGGCGGAGAAGCAGUGAUUUCGGUUGCUGCAGAGCCGACGUUGGGAUACCACUCUUGUGUUACUGGGGUUCUAACCUGUGGCCGUGAUCCGGCACAGGAACAGUGUUAGAUGGGCAGUUUGACUGGGGCGGUGGCCUCCCCCAG